rnacentral:lncRNA from 10 species
GCUGUAGUGGCUUCGUCUUCGGUUUUUCUCUUCCUUCGCUAACGCCUCCCGGCUCUCGUCAGCCUCCCGCCGGCCGUCUCCUUAACACCGAACACCAUGCCUUCAAUUAAGUUGCAGAGUUCUGAUGGAGAGAUAUUUGAAGUUGAUGUGGAAAUUGCCAAACAAUCUGUGACUAUUAAGACCAUGUUGGAAGGUCAUCCUUUCUGCAUUGUCUGAAUUAGUGAGGGUCGUUCUCUCAUUAAAUGGAUAAAAUCAUAAGAUUUGGGAAUGGAUGAUGAAGGAGAUGAUGACCCAGUUCCUCUACCAAAUGUGAAUGCAGCAAUAUUAAAAAAGUUGACUAUUGUCAUUUAUUGGGCAUCUGUACUGUGUCUACCUAUGCAAACACUUCCCUAGGAAGGAUGAUCUACAUGUAGAAUAUCUGGAUCGCAGGUCAUUCAGUGGUGCACCCACCACAAGGAUGACCCUCCUCCUCCUGAAGAUGAUGAGAACAAAGAAAAGCGAACAGAUGAUAUCCCUGUUUGGGACCAAGAAUUCCUGAAAGUUGACCAAGGAACACUUUUUGAACUCAUUCUGGCUGCAAACUACUUAGACAUCAAAGGUUUGCUUGAUGUUACAUGCAAGACUGUUGCCAAUAUGAUCAAGGGGAAAACUCCUGAGGAGAUUCGCAAGACCUUCAAUAUCAAAAAUGACUUUACUGAAGAGGAGGAAGCCCAGGUACGCAAAGAGAACCAGUGGUGUGAAGAGAAGUGAAAUGUUGUGCCUGACACUGUAACACUGUAAGGAUUGUUCCAAAUACUAGUUGCACUGCUCUGUUUAUAAUUGUUAAUAUUAGACAAACAGUAGACAAAUGCAGCAGCAAGUCAAUUGUAUUAGCAGAAUAUUGUCCUCAUUGCAUGUGUAGUUUGAGCACAGAUCCCAAACCUUACGGCCAAGUUUCUUCUAGUAUGAUGGAAAGUUUCUUUUUUCUUUGCUCUGAAUAAAACUGAACUGUGGGUUCUCUAUAAGUGGC